UUGGAGGGCAAGUCUGGUGCCAGCAGCCGCGGUAAUUCCAGCUCCAAUAGCGUAUAUUAAAGUUGUUGCAGUUAAAAAGCUCGUAGUUGAAUUUCGGGGUCAGCAGGUUGGUCGUGCCAAUGGUAUGCACUGGCCUUGCUGAUUCCUCCCUCUUGAUGAGCCGUAAUGUCAUUAAUUUGGUGUUGCGGGGAAUCAGGACUGUUACUUUGAAAAAAUUAGAGUGUUUAAAGCAGGCAAGCGCUUGAAUACAUUGGCAUGGAAUAAUGAAAUAGGACGUUUGAUCCUAUUUUGUUGGUUUCUAGGAUUGACGUAAUGAUUAAUAGGGAUAGUUGGGGGCAUUAGUAUUCAAUUGUCAGAGGUGAAAUUCUUGGAUUUAUUGAAGACUAACUACUGCGAAAGCAUUUGCCAAGGAUGUUUUCAUUAAUCAAGAACGAAAGUUAGGGGAUCGAAGACGAUCAGAUACCGUCGUAGUCUUAACCAUAAACUAUGCCGACUAGGGAUCGGAUGAUGUUAAUUUUUUAAUGACUCAUUCGGCGCCUUACGGGAAAC
rnacentral:rRNA from 1 species